rnacentral:lncRNA from 1 species
UUUUGAUCCUUAUUUACAGUUUCAGUUUUUCGCCAGCGAAACAGUGCAGUAUUUACACGUGUCCAGUUUAUUUCACUUCAGAGUGAAACACCUUAGGUGUUCCCAACGUGCAUCCAUUUACUGAAAAAUGUCUCAGCUUAUCCUUUGUGGCGAGUGGUACUCCUUUCUAUGUCUUUUUCAAAAUUUAAAAUAAAUUUUUCUUCCCGGUACCGGGAAUCAAACUCACGACCUUGCGCUUGCCAGGCAGGCGCUGUGCCUCUGAGCUAAAUCCCCAGCCCCAUCCUCCUUCCUAUGAAAGAAACACAUCUUUACUCAUCCAUCGGUUGACGGGCAUGUGGGCUGUCUCCCGGACGUAGCUAUUACACACUGCUGCUGUAAACGUGGGUAUAUCACUGUGGUAUGAAGCAGAAUUUUUAAAAAGACACAUGUCCCUUCUCAAGGUACUUUACAAUUUAUGCUGAUAAAUAACUUCAACCCUGAGCGUGACUUGGUGCUAAGGGAUUAAUUUUGACUAAGCAGGGAGCACCUGAGCAAACUGACAAACGGGUAGGGCACUUACUUUAGCUUGCAAACAAACCAGCUGCCUUUGGGGGGAACCUGGGGUGACCUGACUCGCACGCAGACACCAGGUACUAUUGAAGGAACACAUGCUCUUGGACAGGCAGUGCUGUUACGGCCACAGCUGCAGGUGGUGUCCCCAGGCAUCGGAGCGGGCCCCGGGUCCCCGAAGCCUGCGGUCGGGUACACCAGUGGCUGUGACAGGGCUGACUGGGGGCAGCUGCUGCCGGUGUCAGAGAACCGGUUAUUGUGCCCACUGGACCGGCCGGAAAAGAUGGAAAUUGGAUUCUGAAGCACGGUUCGUCCCGUUGCUUCUGCACCAAGUUGAAAAAUCGUCGGUCAGACCACGCAAGCCAGGAACCCUCUGUAUUAACUGCCUUAGGUGUGACGAUGGCCUUCCGAUGACGUCCAGCAAUGCUCCUCUCUCCUCUUUCUGGAGACUGGGUAUGGAGGGCCCACACGAAGAGCCGUCUCAAGCUGGGGAGCUACAGACAACCAAAGUGACAUGGGACGGCAGACCGGAGCCCGGGACGCGCAGACAUGAGCACGUCGACCUCGCUGGGACAGCGGAUGAAGAUUCGGUCAUCAGUGUCAACUGCCCUGAACUGCUGGCUGCGCCAUGA